UACGUAGGUGGCAAGCGUUGUCCGGAUUUACUGGGCGUAAAGGAUGCGUAGGCGGAUAUUUAAGUCAGAUGUGAAAUACCCGGGCUCAACUUGGGUGCUGCAUUUGAAACUGGAUAUCUAGAGUGCGGGAGAGGUAAGUGGAAUUCCUAGUGUAGCGGUGAAAUGCGUAGAGAUUAGGAAGAACACCAGUGGCGAAGGCGACUUACUGGACCGUAACUGACGCUGAGGCAUGAAAGCGUGGGGAGCAAACAGGAUUAGAUACCCCCGUAGUCC
rnacentral:rRNA from 1 species